UACGUAGGGUGCAAGCGUUAAUCGGAAUUACUGGGCGUAAAGCGUGCGCAGGCGGUUGUGCAAGACAGAUGUGAAAUCCCCGGGCUCAACCUGGGAAUUGCAUUUGUGACUGCACGGCUAGAGUUUGGCAGAGGGGGGUAGAAUUCCACGUGUAGCAGUGAAAUGCGUAGAGAUGUGGAGGAACACCGAUGGCGAAGGCAGCCCCCUGGGUCAAAACUGACGCUCAUGCACGAAAGCGUGGGGAGCAAACAGG
rnacentral:rRNA from 1 species